GACGAACGCUGGCGGCGUGCCUAAUACAUGCAAGUAGAACGCUGAAGGAGGAGCUUGCUUCUCUGGAUGAGUUGCGAACGGGUGAGUAACGCGUAGGUAACCUGCCUGGUAGCGGGGGAUAACUAUUGGAAACGAUAGCUAAUACCGCAUAAGAGUAGAUGUUGCAUGACAUUUGCUUAAAAGGUGCAAUUGCAUCACUACCAGAUGGAUCUGCGUUGUAUUAGCUAGUUGGUGAGGUAACGGCUCACCAAGGCGACGAUACAUAGCCGACCUGAGAGGGUGAUCGGCCACACUGGGACUGAGACACGGCCCAGACUCCUACGGGAGGCAGCAGUAGGGAAUCUUCGGCAAUGGACGGAAGUCUGACCGAGCAACGCCGCGUGAGUGAAGAAGGUUUUCGGAUCGUAAAGCUCUGUUGUAAGAGAAGAACGAGUGUGAGAGUGGAAAGUUCACACUGUGACGGUAGCUUACCAGAAAGGGACGGCUAACUACGUG
rnacentral:rRNA from 1 species